rnacentral:rRNA from 1 species
GAUGAACGCUGGCGGCGUGCCUAAUACAUGCAAGUCGAGCGAAUGGAUUAAGAGCUUGCUCUUAUGAAGUUAGCGGCGGACGGGUGAGUAACACGUGGGUAACCUGCCCAUAAGACUGGGAUAACCCCGGGAAACCGGGGCUAAUACCGGAUAAUAUUUUGAACUGCAUGGUUCAAAAUUGAAAGGCGGCUUCGGCCGUCACUUAUGGAUGGACCCGCGUCGCAUUAGCUAGUUGGUGAGGUAACGGCUCACCAAGGCAACGAUGCGUAGCCGACCUGAGAGGGUGAUCGGCCACACUGGGACUGAGACACGGCCCAGACUCCUACGGGAGGCAGCAGUAGGGAAUCUUCCGCAAUGGACGAAAGUCUGACGGAGCAACGCCGCGUGAGUGAUGAAGGCUUUCGGGUCGUAAAACUCUGUUGUUAGGGAAGAACAAGUGCUAGUUGAAUAAGCUGGCACCUUGACGGUACCUAACCAGAAAGCCACGGCUAACUACGUGCCAGCCGCCGCGGUAA